GACAGAGGUGCCAAGCGUUAGGCGGAAUCACUGGGCUUAAAGCGCGUGUAGGCGGACUUGUAAGUACCUUGUGAAAUCCCACGGCUCAACCGUGGAACUGCUUGGUAUACUGCUUGUCUUGAGCCACUUAGGGGCUACCGGAACAAAUGGUGGAGCGGUGAAAUGCGUAGAUAUCAUUUGGAACGCCAAUGGUGAAAACAGGUAGCUGGGAGUGUGCUGACGCUGAGACACGAAAGCCAGGGGAGCGAACGGG
rnacentral:rRNA from 1 species